UACGGCUGUAUCAUGUUGAAACAUCAAUCCCUGUAUGAUCUCCAAAGUUAAGCAACAUUGAGCCGGGUUAUUACCUAGAUGGGUGACUACUUGGGAAUACCAGGUGCUAUA